rnacentral:lncRNA from 1 species
AAAUGGUGAAGCAACGAGUGUCAGCAAUUCAGCUUCUCCAAGACAGAGUCCAGAGUCUGGAAAACAAUAGCAUGUAGGGAGGAAAACUGAAGUGUGAGAAGGAUUCAUGAGAACCAUGAGGGAUCUGACAGAGGAGAAGAAAAUAGGAUUAAGUAAUACAGGCGAGGUUGACCACACCACAGAAGAGACACCGAGGCAACACAGACAGCGGCUGGCUAGCCGCAGCUGGGAGACAAAGUAACACUAACAACUUCUUUCCUCACAGAGAAUAAGAGAGCUGCACUGGGACCAGAAGAAUCCUACGCAGUUGGAGAUAGAAGGAAAAACACGGGACAUUGCCUCCUGAGCGGCCCUCCAGGAUCAGUAGUUGUUUCAGGAAAUAAAAAUCUGGCCCAGCUCAACACAAACAACUCUGCGCUGUCAUCAAAUUUAGAUCAUUCUCCUACCCCAGCUCAGACAGCAGGUAUUCGGAAGCUUAAGAGAUGUGCUAGCUUCUUUCCGCUUCCUUGGUGCAUUCCCUUCUUUUGCUAGGUGUGUUUUCUGCUGGUGGGAGAGGAGAAGGGGCAUAAAAAGUGGAUUAAGGAAAGGAGAACAGUUUUCAAGGCUCACAGGCUUACAAUGAAGCUGUGGUUUGCAAGCAC